rnacentral:rRNA from 1 species
GACGAACGCUGGCGGCGGGCUUAACACAUGCAAGUCGAACGGAAAGGCCCUGCUUUUGUGGGGUGCUCGAGUGGCGAACGGGUGAGUAACACGUGAGUAACCUGCCCUGGGCGUUGGGAUAACUUCAGGAAACUGGGGCUACUGCCGGCGAGGAGCUGGUGCUGCAUGGGGGGGGUUGGAAAUUUUCGGUGGAUGGGGGUGUACGCGGGGCUGAUCAGCUUGUUGGUGGGGUAGUGGCUUACCAAGGCUUUGACGGGUAGCCCGCCUGGGAGGGUGAACGGCCACAUUGGGCCUGAGAUACGGCCCAGACUCCUACGUGAGACAGAAGUCGGGAAUAUUGCACAAUGGGCGGGAGCCUGAUGCAGCGGCGUCGCGUGCGGGAUGCCCGCCUUCGGGUUGUAAACCGCUUUCGCCUGUGACGAAGCGUGAGUGACGUUAAUGAGUAAAGAAGCACCGGCUAACUACGUG